AGAAACACAGAGAGCAAUGGAGGGUGUGAGAAGAGGCUUUGGCUUUGGGUCUGGUUCAGCUAUGGCGUUUGUGGUGCUUUUGGCCUUGGUUUUGGUCAUGGCUCCAGAAGCCUCAGCUACUCGCUUUACUGUGGGAGGUAACAAGGGCUGGACUACCAAUGUGAACUACACUAUUUGGGCCCAAGACAAGCACUUCUACAAUGGAGAUUGGCUCUGUAAGCUCUCUCACUCUCUUUGAUUGUUUGUCUUUCAGAUCUAAGUUGUUGUUUUAUGGCUGAAAGUUUCAAUCUUUGGUUCAAUUUGUGCUUCAUGUUCAGUCUGAGUGAGCCGGAUCUGGAAAUGGCCUAGUGGGUUUUGCUUCAAUGUGCUUAUAUGUGGGUUUUGUUUUGGGAGAAUCUUUGCCUCAAAGAUAGACACUUUGCUCAAAUUUAUUACAGAGUAGAUCAGAUUACUUGGGUGGUUUCUGAAUCCUGGUUCUUUGGUUUGUAAAGCUUUCAUUUUGCAUACCGAGAAAAAUGUAGGAAAAGGAAGAAUAUUUUUACUCAUAUCCAUAGAUUUCAUACUAAAUGAGGUUCCUUUUCAAGUUCUGAAUUAGUAUUUCAUAAAAUGCUAGCUGGUUCAGAUCUGAAACUGGUGCUAUUUUUUGCUCCUGGUUUUUGCUGUGAAGAAAUUCAAUGCCUUAUUAGUACUAUGUAGCAGUUUACUUUCUUAUACUACUUUGGUGUGUGAAAAACUGAGACUUGGAAAGUUGGAAGAUUGGCAUCUUUAGACUGCUGAAUUCUUAAGACUUGAUAUCGAAGAUGAAUUGAGUACUAAUUAAAAUACCAUAUCUGUUUUCCCCAGUUUUUGUGUAUGAUAGGAACCAGCAGAAUAUCCUAGAGGUGAACAGCACAGACUAUGAGACAUGCAAUUCAGAUCAUCCUCUUCACAAUUGGACUACUGGAGCCGGAAGAGAUGUGGUUCCACUAAAUGUGACGAGGCGCUACUAUUUCUUGAGUGGCAAGGGCUUCUGCUACAGUGGCAUGAAGAUGACUGUUAAGGUCGAAAACCCACCUCCACCUCCCAAGGCUGCUCCAGUGACGAGCAAGGGCAGCGCUCCAUUAUCUCCUGUGUUUAGAUCUCAAUUUGUGUUGCCAGCCAUUUUUGCCAUGGGUGCAGUUUGGGAUUCAUUUCUUAGGUUCUGCUAGCAUAAACUGAGCUAAUAUUGAUGGGUGAGGAUAUCAAAAUGAGUAAUCAGUGAGGAUAUCCAAAUCACAUUAUAGACAAUCUCUUCUAGCUAAGCCAUUGAUUUGUCCACAUUGGUCCUUGUACUUUAGAUUUUCUUGAUGCUUUUUUGGGUUUGUGAUUUGUUGGUGUUGUUUAAAUUU
rnacentral:lncRNA from 1 species